UUUUACACUUACCCACAAUCCCUCACUACCGGAAGUACUGGACAAGGGAAGGCCGGGGAAACGGUCCACCCAUUACUAUCGGGAGAACAUGGAUUGCUGCUAAAUUAAAGAUAUAUACGAUUACAGCAAGAGUCGUGCCUAGCCGCUCAGUCCAUAUACCACAAGAUGGGAGGCUGGAGUGUGUUUGUGACCUGCUGUGUUUGGGCGAUUCUUCUCCUGGCUCUGUUUGGAGAUUCACUGGCAUCUGCGCCUGAGUUUGAUCCCUACAAAGUUCUCGGAGUGUCCAGACAUGCCAGCCAGGCCGAAAUCAAGAAAGUCUACAAGAGGCUCAUGAGAGAAUGGCAUCCAGACAAAAACAAAAGUCCAGGGGCAGAGGACAUGUUUAUCAAGAUCACUAAAUCAUAUGAGUAAAUUACUUAGUU